rnacentral:tRNA from 1 species
ACCUGGCUGGCUCAGUUGGUAGAGCACUCAGCUCUUGAUCUUGGGGUUGUGAGUUCAAGCCCCACGCUGGGUG